GGGAGAGUGUGUGUGCACGCGAGAGUGUUGUGAGUGUGAGAGUGUUUGUGUGUGACUGUGCAUGAGGGCUCCUGGGACGGGCAGCCCUGGCUGUGGCUAAGUGGUUGCUGUGGGCUGGGGUGCCCGCCCAGGGCAGCUUAUGGCAUGGGGAAGGAAUUCUCUGGGAACCCCAGCGGGCCUGGGCUGGCACCCCACCCACGGCGGGUGACCAGGCUGGGUGGCUGCUGCACUGAGUCAGCCCUUCUGGCCGGGCUCUGCCCCGCCCCUCCUGGCCCCGCUGCCUAUCAGGAGCGAGGGGCAGAGGAAGCCCUUGGGAACUCCCUGUUAUCGGCCCCACACCCUGAGAAGGCACAGAAAGCACGGGCAGGGGAUUGCUCCUACCCCUCCCCAUCACAGUCGGGGAGGGCCAGAAAGAGCUUGAAGAACAGUCAGAGCCAAGGAUGAAGUCUGGCAAGGUGAUGUCAACGCUGUUUAGAAGAAGGAAGGCCUGGGUUGGAUAGAGAGCGGAGGAGGCGGGUUUCCAGGAGGUCUUCCUGCUGGAGCUUGGAGCUUGGGGUUGAAUUCCACGCAGAUUUAUUAAGCACUUACUAUGUGCCUGGCCUGGGCUGGAGACCCAAAGAGAAGUGCACACAGCCUCCUCCGUCCAGGAGCUCACAGUCUGCUGGGGGAGGCCGAAAAGGAGAGAGAGGGUUACAAUUCAAGAUGGCCCACGAUAUGUUCUCCGGUGGUGGGGGGAUCAAGACAUUCCAUGUGAAAAAGCCUGACAGUGCCCAGCGUUGGUGAGGGCGUGGUUCAGCAGGCACACUCCUCGUGGCUGGCGAGAGGGUGAGUUAGAACAGCCACUUUGGAGAGUAAUUUGGCAGUUCUAGGAAGUUGACCAAGCAUCUUCCCUAUGAUGCAGCAAUUCCACUUUUUGAGUUCUCGCUCUAGAGUUUUUCAGACUUUUUGACAUGUAUCCUCAAUAAACAUGCUCUGGGAUCCAGAAUACACACACUCCACACCCAUGACGGACAACUUCCACCCUAAUAGUCACCCUGAUGACUGGUGAUGCACGAUGAUAUUUUCUAAGCAAUUUUGAGUUUUAAAAAUGCUGAUCUUCGGGGCCGGCCCCAUUGCCGAGUGGUUAAGUUCGCGUGCUCCACUUCAGUGGCCCAGGGUUUCGCCAGUUUGGAUCCUGGGCGCGGACAUACCAUUCAUCAGGCCAUGCUGAGGUGGUGUCCCACAUGGCACAACCAGAGGCACUCACAGCUGGAAUACACAACUAUCUACGUAUUGGGGGGCUUUGGGGAGGAGGAGGAGCGGACAAGGGAAGAGGAAGAGGAGGAGGAGAAGAAGAAGAAAAAGAUUGCCAACAGAUUUUAGCUCAGAUGCCAAUCUUUAAAAAAAAAAAUGCUGAUUUUCACCCACUAAAUUGAUUUCCUGACCCAUUCAUAGGUCUCAAUGCAUAGUUUGAACAACGCUGCCCUAGAGACACUCAUGCAUGUGCACAAGGAGACGAGAAUGUUUACCUCAAUGUUGUAACAGCAAAAACUUAGGGCUUUAAUGGUCGUCAGCAAAAUGCGUAAACAAAUUGUGAUGUGGUCAGGAAGUGGACUGUCACCCUGCCGCUCCGUGCAUCAAAGAACACACACAGGGCGGCACCAUUUCUAUAAAAUGUAAAACCCUGCAGGAUGCGAUCAUCCAUUGUGUGUGGAGACAUCUGUCUGUGGGACAAGCAUCAAAAUGGCGUGCAGUGAUUCCCACCCAAAUCAGGAGCGUGUUUACCUGUGCGGGGGGCGGGGGGGGGGGAUGGAGGGGAAUGGAG
ensembl:lncRNA